CGUGCGGAUCGGACCAUCGCUCCGUCGUUCCUGCUCAACCGAGACCCGUUCCGGUCCGCGCAGGUGCGGCGGUGAGGAAAGUCCGAACACCGCAGGGCACCGUGCUUCCUAACGGGAAGGCGUCCCGACUACCAUCGAGGCGACGGCACGUGCAACAGAGAGCAGUCCUGCCCUGACGAUCCCGCCCCGGCGACUGUCGGGGCCGGUGGGGUCAAGGGUGCAAGGGUGCGGUAAGAGCGCACCGGCGCUCCUGGCGACAGGGGCGGCCCGGCAAACCCCACGGGGUGAAAGGCCAAGUAGUACCGGGCACCGGCGCCGUCGGUGCACAAGGUUGCCCGCCGACCCAUCGGUGCAGGUAGGCCGCUAGAGGCGCCCGGUGACGGACGUCCCAGAUAGAUGAUGGCCUCCCCGCCUACCGGGCACGGCCCCGGACGCGGGCAGACCGAAUUCGGCUUACAGAUCCGCACGUUUC
rnacentral:RNase_P_RNA from 1 species